rnacentral:SRP_RNA from 1 species
GACGGGCCUCCUCGCAUGGGAACACGGCCAAUCGGGUCAGGUGGGGAACCAAGCAGCCCUAACCGGCGAACCCAGUGCCGGGGUCAGGCUCGUCACC